rnacentral:rRNA from 1 species
UACGAAGGGGGCUAGCGUUGUUCGGAUUUACUGGGCGUAAAGCGCACGUAGGCGGAUCUUUAAGUCAGGGGUGAAAUCCUGGAGCUCAACUCCAGAACUGCCUUUGAUACUGGAGAGCUUGAGUCCGGAAGAGGUGAGUGGAACUCCGAGUGUAGAGGUGAAAUUCGUAGAUAUUCGGAAGAACACCAGUGGCGAAGGCGGCUCACUGGUCCGGUACUGACGCUGAUGUGCGAAAGCGUGGGGAGCAAACAGG